rnacentral:rRNA from 1 species
GACGAACGCUGGCGGCGUGCUUAACACAUGCAAGUCGAGCGGUAAGGCCCUUUCGGGGGUAUACGAGCGGCGAACGGGUGAGUAACACGUGGGUGACCUGCCCUCAGCUCUGGGAUAAGCCUGGGAAACUGGGUCUAAUACUGGAUAUGACUCCACGGUGCAUGUCGUGGGGUGGAAAGCCUUGUGCGGCUGAGGAUGGGCCCGCGGCCUAUCAGCUUGUUGGUGGGGUGANGGCCUACCAAGGCGACGACGGGUAGCCGGCCUGAGAGGGCGACCGGCCACACUGGGACUGAGACACGGCCCAGACUCCUACGGGAGGCAGCAGUGGGGAAUCUUGCGCAAUGGGCGAAAGCCUGACGCAGCGACGCCGCGUGAGGGAUGACGGCCU